rnacentral:piRNA from 1 species
UNUUGAGCCUGGGACUGGACCUGAGUGA